UAGGGAAUCUUCCGCAAUGGACGCAAUUCUGACGGAGCAACGCCGCGUGAGUGAAGAAGGAUUUCGGUUCGUAAAACUCUGUUGUUCGAGAAGAACAGCGCAUAGAGUAACUGUUAUGCGUGUGACGGUAUCUAACCAGAAAGCCACGGCUAACUACGUGCCAGCAGCCGCGGUAAUACGUAGGUGGCAAGCGUUGUCCGGAUUUAUUGGGCGUAAAGCGAGCGCAGGCGGUCAAUUAAGUCUGAUGUGAAAGCCCCCGGCUCAACCGGGGAGGGUCAUUGGAAACUGGUUGACUUGAGUGCAGAAGAGGAGAGUGGAAUUCCAUGUGUAGCGGUGAAAUGCGUAGAUAUAUGGAGGAACACCAGUGGCGAAGGCGACUUUCUGGUCUGUAACUGACGCUGAUGUGCGAAAGCGUGGGGAUCAAACAGG
rnacentral:rRNA from 1 species